rnacentral:rRNA from 1 species
ACGCUAAUACCGCGUAAAUCAACGAGAUCGCAUGAUUUUGUUGGAAAAGGAGAAAUCCGCUUAAGGAUGGGCCCGCGGCCUAUUAGCUAGUUGGUAGGGUAACGGCCUACCAAGGCGACGAUAGGUAGCCGACCUGAGAGGGUGAACGGCCACACUGGAACUGAGAAACGGUCCAGACUCCUACGGGAGGCAGCAGUAGGGAAUAUUCCGCAAUGGGCGAAAGCCUGACGGAGCAACGCCGCGUGAGUGAAGAAGGUUUUCGGAUCGUAAAGCUCUGUCAACAGGGACGAAACAAGACGGUACCUGAGAAGGAAGCCACGGCAAACUACGUGCCAGCAGCCGCGGUAAUACGUAGGUGGCAAGCGUUGUCCGGAAUAACUGGGCGUAAAGCGCAUGUAGACGGCAUGAUAAGCCAAAUGUGAAAUGUAGGGGCUCAACCCCUGCACUGCGAUUGGAACUGUCAAGCUUGAGUGCAGGAGAGGCAAAUGGAAUUCCCAGUGUAGCAGUGAAAUGCGUAGAGAUUGGGAGGAACACCAGUGGCGAAGGCGAUUUGCUGGACUGCAACUGACGUUGAGAUGCGAAAGCUAGGGGAGCAAACGGGAUUAGAUACCCCGGUAGUCCUAGCCGUAAACGAUGGAUACUAGGUGUAGAGGGUAUCGACCCCUUCUGUGCCGCAGCGAACGCAAUA